CUGUCCAAAGCUCAAAGAGAAGUAGCAACAUUUAAUUUCAGUGUGCAGUACAUCUGAGGGGGUACUGUAACUGAGAGGACUGAUUUUGUGAGGGAUUUAUCUGUGGAUUAAUCAUCGCAGCAGAGCGAAUCCACGUCAGACGAACCACAGCACAGGGAGAAUAAGUUUGGCUUCAUCCUUACUUCUUCAUGAUCUCACCGGCUGACUUGUUUCUGGGUAGUAAUCUGAGGAGUCUUUGGAUUGCCCUUCGGCCCCGGAUUCCUCCCGCCACACAACCCAUGAUGGCAACGCGAGUGGGCUCAGCAGCCUCAGCUAUGGAGUCGGUGUUGCCUGGCACCAGCUGAGGCCCUUCCUCCCUUUCUUCCUCAUCAGCUUCAUGAUUGUGGGCCUUGUCUAUCUGAUGCUGGCCAUCAUCUACGGGGGGCCUUUCAAAGACCCACUCUUCUUUGUCAAGUUUUAUGAGCGAUGGCCACGACCGACUCCUCGGCAGGAGUCCCCUGCAAAGGUUUUCACUACGGUCCCCUCUCCAUCAGUUGUCCAAGUCCUUAAUGGGGUGCUCAGACUCAACAAUACCUCAUAAACUGGAGAAACGACCUAUCUCCUGUGAACAUCUUGUCCACACACAGAGGACAGACUAAUCUUUGACAUGAAAGUCUCACAAGAAGAGCACAAUCAUCCCAGCCUCUGCAAAAAGUUCACUGGACAAGUCACUUAGGUGAAUUAUUAAACAGUAGUAUGAUGGUUUGGGCCUCUUUCGAUGCCUCUGGGUCAGGGUGGUGUACAGUCACAGAGCAACAAAUUCUGAGAUGUAUGAGCAAUAUGUAACGGAAAGUUUCAGAACAUCUGUCAAUGAAUUAAAACAAGCAAAGCUGUUGAUCUAGUAGCAAUGACGUUUGUGUAAAGAGCUGUAGGUUAAUAUAUAAAAGAGGAAAUGACUAAAAUUCUCCCAAUUAGAUGAGCAGGACUCAUCAACAACUCCUGUCCACGUUGAGCAAAAGGAUCCCAGAAUAAAUCUGAAGAAAGCAUGAUCUUACCAGUAACGGUUACAUCAUACGGGGGUGUUUUCUUCAGGCUCUAAAUGAUUAAGCAUAGUUAUUGCUGAACAUGUUUUUCUCACUAUUUUCAAAAUGUGAUUGUUUUAGGCCUCACUUUUUGCAUAUAAGGGUGAAAAAUGUAUAUUAUAUGGCUUAUAAAAAUAAAAGUAUUUUUAAACAGAAAGUACCACUAAAUCAGAGACCAAACUAAACCAUGCUUUCACAGAGAAACAAAACAGCUUCAGUUUUUAAAUGGAGCUAAAUCAGUUAUAAUAGUUUUCUUCUGUCGAGCAUUUCUGAAAUCACUUCACUGUCUGAAUGCUUAUUAUCACAUGAAUAUAUGAAUUUGUUUGAACUGUUUUUGUAAUAUUUUGCCAUGUAAAGCUUUAAAAUACACAUUUUUAGAAAUGCAUGCCUGUUUUUUAGUCUGAACGUUGUUAAAGCUCAUUAGAAAUCUAAGCUGGGUAAGACCAGCAAUAUUUGAACACUGUUGUUGUUUUAGUACCAAAUGCCUGUUGGCGUGCCGAGCCAUUGAGUUGGCUCGGCACGCAAACAUCGUACUUAUCGAUGUGAUGACUGCUGGGGCCUUACAGUCUUUUUUAAAUCUGUUUACUUAGGAACUGGUUUAAUGUGCACAUGAAUGGGUUACAUGGCUAAAAAACAUACAUUUAAGUAACUGACCAGAGAGAGGUAAUCCUUUGCUGGAACUACCAUAACAUGUGGAAAAGACUCACCAUUCAUCACAAGCAGACAAGUGCUGGCAUGUUUUUCUCCUUUGUUUUAAGAGCAGUUUUAUUCCUUACUGUCUAAACACAGAGAUCCUGUGAAUUUCACAUAAUUACAUGUCUUUGGCUUUUACUGGUACCAUUAUCACUAGCUAACAAUGACACUAAAGUUUAAGCAAAUUGUCCUGAUUCUGUUAACAGAAGACAAAAAACUGAAUCUCAUAAAUGUUGUGAUCCAUACAGAUCACGUUAUGUAUGUAUGUCAUCGAGCCUUUCUUGAAAAGAAUGGACUUAGCAUAUUAUUACAAAUACAGACUCUCACAAUUGCACCUUAUACAGAUUUUUAAGAUUAAACAGAGGAGAGAAAAAUGCCCAUUUUACUGUUUAUUAUACAAGCCUUGUUGGGUAAUUUACAGUGCUGUGAAUUUAUUUUUUGUUCCCUUAAAGGUGUCUUGUGUUUUUACUUUUCUGUUGAACAAAUUUUAAUAUCAGAAAAAGAUAACAAGACUGAAUAUAAGUUGCAUUCAAAAAAGCUAUCCCAACCUAUCUGGCCCUGUGUGAAGAAACAAUUUACCUCUAAACCUGUUAUCUGGUUCUGUUACCCUCAGUGGAAACAGAUGCCGUCAAGCGAUGACAAUGUGUCUUUACAUCUUAGUGGAGGAAUUUAUGUCCAGUCUUCAUUGCAUGGUUGUUUUAAUUAAUCAACAUUGAAGGGUUUCAUUCAAUAAAUUGCCUCUUUAUGGUUAUGCUAAAACAUAUCAAUCAGAUUUAAGUGAAAACUUUAAAUAGGCCACUCCAAAAGCUUUACUUUUUUAGUGCUUCGGAGAUGGACAUCCUAGCAUGCUUUGGAAGACUGAUCUACUGCAUAAUCCCAGUCAUUUUGAGUUUCAUCAAUCUAAAGCAAGUAAACCAGGUCCUGAAGCAGCAAAGCAACCCCACAGCAUGACACUACUCCCACCAUGUUUGACUGUUGGUAUGAUCAUCUUUUUCUGCAAUGCCUUAUUAGUUGUACACGAGAUGUAACGGGACACACAACUUUCAAAAAGUUCAACUUUUUUCUCGUUAGUCCACAGAAUAUUUUCCUAAGUCUUUUAUCAUAGAGACAUUUACUGAGAAUGAGACGGACCUUUGUGUUCUUUUUGGUUUGCAUUGAUUUUAGCCCUAGAACUCUCCCAGGGAUGGCAUUUUGCCCAGUUUCUCUGUCUGAAAUCAUGCUAAAUUGUGAACAUUUACCUUAACUGGAGCAAGUGAGGCCUGCUAAGCUUUAGAUGUUUUCCGGUUUCGUUUGUGUCCUCCUGGAUAAUGAUUUUGGUAAGUCAGACUGGGAAGGUGAAUCACUUUUCCACAUUUUCUCCAUUUGUAAAUAAUGGCUCUCACUGGGGUUCACUGGAAUCCCAAAGACUUUUAAAUGGUUUUUCAAGCAUUUUCAGCCUGGCAGAUGUGAAUGACUUUGUUUCUCAACUGUUGUUGAAUUUUGUUAAAUCAGGGCAUAAUGUGUUGCUUUUAAUGUGUUGCUUUUUGUUUUUUUUUUCCUGAAAAAAUGAAAUCAUCUUUUGAAAUGGCUUUUUGUAUUGGUGACCUGUGGGAAAGACAGAGAAAACAUAAAAAAUCUGUGGGUGGACAAACGUUUUCACACCUCUCUACUUACUUUUAUUUCAAACUGUUUAUCGGGUCAUCAAAGUAUUCAUAAUAUCUGGUUAAAUUCAAAAAUAGUGCUAAAAGUUACUCUCAGAGCGAAAAAAAAAUUUGGUAACUGCCUUUUUUUGCUCUCCAUCUUUGGGAUAUUCUUUGAAAUAUCAUCAGGUUUCACACACCUCUGUUUCUGCAUAUUUUCAAAGGGUCAGCUUAAUUCUAAUAUGAAAUAAAAUGUCAGAUAUAUGCCAA